GGAUCCAGACUUUGAUCUGGCUCACGACUAACGCUGGCGGCGUGCCUAACACAUGCAAGUCGAACGGAACUGUUUUGAAAGAUUUCUUCGGAAUGAAUUUGAUUUAGUUUAGUGGCGGACGGGUGAGUAACGCGUGAGUAACCUGCCUUCAAGAGGGGGAUAACAUUCUGAAAAGAAUGCUAAUACCGCAUGACAUAUCGGAACCACAUGAUUUUGAUAUCAAAGAUUUUAUCGCUUGAAGAUGGACUCGCGUCCGAUUAGUUAGUUGGUGAGGUAACGGCUCACCAAGACCGCGAUCGGUAGCCGGACUGAGAGGUUGAACGGCCACAUUGGGACUGAGACACGGCCCAGACUCCUACGGGAGGCAGCAGUGGGGGAUAUUGCGCAAUGGGGGCAACCCUGACGCAGCAACGCCGCGUGAAGGAUGAAGGUUUUCGGAUUGUAAACUUCUUUUAUUAAGGACGAAAAAUGACGGUACUUAAUGAAUAAGCUCCGGCUAACUACGUGCCAGCAGCCGCGGAAGUACGUAGGGAGCAAGCGUUGUCCGGAUUUACUGGGUGUAAAGGGUGCGUAGGCGGCUUUGCAAGUCAGAUGUGAAAUCUAUGGGCUCAACCCAUAAACUGCAUUUGAAACUGUAGAGCUUGAGUGAAGUAGAGGCAGGCGGAAUUCCCCGUGUAGCGGUGAAAUGCGUAGAGAUGGGGAGGAACACCAGUGGCGAAGGCGGCCUGCUGGGCUUUAACUGACGCUGAGGCACGAAAGCGUGGGUAGCAAACAGGAUUAGAUACCCUGGUAGUCCACGCUGUAAACGAUGAUUACUAGGUGUGGGGGGUCUGACCCCUUCCGUGCCGGAGUUAACACAAUAAGUAAUCCACCUGGGGAGUACGGCCGCAAGGUUGCAACUCAAAUGAAUUGACGG
rnacentral:rRNA from 1 species